rnacentral:rRNA from 1 species
CCUUGUACACACCGCCCGUCAAGCCAUGGAAAUGUGUUGUACCAGAAGCGGGUAGACUAACCUUCGGGGGGUCGCUCACCACGGUAUGAUAUAUAACUGGGGCU